ACAGCCCCUCCCAGGUUAAGCGGAGGAGCUCUCAAGCUUGGCGUUGGCAGGAUUUUUGCCCAGCUUCAAAGGGAUUUGAAGGGUGGUGACAGGCUCCAGCCCAGACUGCGCCUCGGAAUGCAGACGCUUCUCUGCCUAGAACCUGGCCCGGCCUUGUGGGAAAGCCCCGGUUCCUGGCGGCACUGAACUGGUUGAUAUUCUAAAGAGAGCAGACACUGAGCAAAUGUUUGUUGAACUGAACCAAUCUGCUCCCUAUGGGGACGUGACCUCCACUUCACGGUGUCGAACUAAACAAACACUUACUUCUCCAGAACUAAACAGACACAUACCUCUGCAGACAAAUAGUGAAAACGAUCCACUUCGAAAUAAGGUAAAAAGCUCCUAUGUUUCCAUGCCUCGUAAUGUGCCACAAAAUAUCGAAUGGUUCAAACAAGAACAAAGUAGGUUAUUUUGUUUGCUAUUUCACUUGCUUGCUGUAGUCUGCAGGUCUUCACAGAAUGAGAAGCAUAAUAACGCUCAUGACUCCAGGCUAGUUCUGUUCUUUGCCAAUGUGUGGUUUGGGAGUUCCGUGAAGUGUUUGUAGUCACUGCUGAUAAUCCAGGUGACAUGGCAAACACCGCCGUUCCCUUGGUCCAGUACAAAUAGAGAAAGUUUCACUCGUAGGCAGCAUCUGAGCACCAGGCUCACAGGGACAUCAGCCUCUUCACUCUUCCAAACUCCAGCUCUCUUCAUUAAGAUAUUCUGGAUGCAACUAAGGAGUUGCUGCAAACAUUUUGGAAAUUACAGGUUGACUCACUUAUUAACUAUCUAACAGAAGAAAGAUCAAUAACAAGCAUUAUUGCUGGAACAUUCUAUGAAUGGACUUCUUUCUACACAUGAUUGGUGAACAUUGUAUUUCAGUUAAUUACAUAUCCUGAUAAUAUAUGAAUUAAUACCGUGAUAUCAUGUAUACAAUAACAAUACUCAAUGGAAAUAUAGUAAAACAGAAAUGAAAAUAAUUUUGUUUUUCCUUGA